rnacentral:rRNA from 1 species
GGCCAUCGGUAGUCUCUGGGUCACCUCCCACCCGUGUUUAUCGUACCUUGUUGCUUCGGCGGGCCCGCCUCACGGCCGCCGGGGGGCAUCCGCCCCCGGGCCCGCGCCCGCCGAAGACACACAAACGAACUCUUGUCUGAAGAUUGCAGUCUGAGUACUUGACUAAAUCAGUUAAAACUUUCAACAACGGAUCUCUUGGUUCCGGCAUCGAUGAAGAACGCAGCGAAAUGCGAUAAGUAAUGUGAAUUGCAGAAUUCAGUGAAUCAUCGAGUCUUUGAACGCACAUUGCGCCCCCUGGUAUUCCGGGGGGCAUGCCUGUCCGAGCGUCAUUGCUGCCCUCAAGCACGGCUUGUGUGUUGGGCUCUCGCCCCCCGCUUCCGGGGGGCGGGCCCGAAAGGCAGCGGCGGCACCGCGUCCGGUCCUCGAGCGUAUGGGGCUUCGUCACCCGCUCUGUAGGCCCGGCCGGCGCCCGCCGGCGAACACCAUCAAUCUUAACCAGGUUGACCUCGGAUCAGGUAGGGAUACCCGCUGAACUUAAGCAUAUCAAUAAGCGGAGGAA